rnacentral:rRNA from 1 species
GAUGAACGCUGGCGGCGUGCUUAACACAUGCAAGUCGAACGGUGAAGCAGGAGCUUGCUCUUGUGGAUCAGUGGCGAACGGGUGAGUAACACGUGAGCAACCUGCCCCUGACUCUGGGAUAAGCGCUGGAAACGGUGUCUAAUACUGGAUAUGUGAUGUGACCGCAUGGUCUGCAUCUGGAAAGAAUUUCGGUUGGGGAUGGGCUCGCGGCCUAUCAGCUUGUUGGUGAGGUAAUGGCUCACCAAGGCGUCGACGGGUAGCCGGCCUGAGAGGGUGACCGGCCACACUGGGACUGAGACACGGCUCAGACUCCUACGGGAGGCAGCAGUGGGGAAUAUUGCACAAUGGGCGGAAGCCUGAUGCAGCAACGCCGCGUGAGGGAUGACGGCCUUCGGGUUGUAAACCUCUUUUAGCAGGGAAGAAGCGAAAGUGACGGUACAUGCAGAAAAAGCACCGGCUAACUACGUGCCAGCCGCCGCCGUAA